rnacentral:rRNA from 1 species
CGAGUGACUGGGAAAGCCCAGCGCUGAAUCUUUCGAUGUUACAUCGUAAGAAAUGUAGCGUAUAGGUGUAGUUAUCGGUUUGUUUGGCGUAUCCAAGUUCCUUUGAUAGGGGCCAUAUUCCAGAGAGGGUGCGAGACCUGUGCGGAUAGCGGAACAUGCCGUAUGAUUAUACCUUGGAGUCGGGUUGCUUGAAAGUGCAGCCUUAAGUGGGUGAUAAACUUCAUCUAAGGCUAAAUACGGACGCGAAUUCGAUAGCAAACAAGUACUGUGAAGGAAAGUUGCAAAGAACUUUGAAGAGAGAGUUCAAGAGAACGUGAAAUCGUUGAAGUGGAACCGGAGAGAGUUGACGUAGUAUGGUGGAUAAGUAUUGCAAGAAUCGCUUCAAAAAAUGUGAACGUGAUCGAGCAGUAUGUAUGUCACCAAUGACUGCGCUGACCGCAUCCACCACACGCUCUGAACCGUGUUGACGUGUUGCCUACUCUAGUAUAUAGAGUGGUGUCUUGUGUUACGUGGUGAAGUUUGUUGUUAUGUUGAUGUUGAUACGAGGAGCAUGAUUAU